AAAGCUCUUAUGCAAGCACAGAAGUGUUUGCACAAAAGUUUGUUGUGUCUCCAGUCUACGCAGGUGCAGUUUGGAAGCGUUUGUUCAUCACCAAAAAGUACGAUAUGGUGCUCCUUCCCUGUUGAACUUUUUACUUCAAAGACCCCUGGGGACACCAUGUGGACCAUGUCUUUGCUAAUGUCACUAUCCCAACGCUUCAUAAUAUGAGACACCAUUCUGGCAGGUCUGUUGUGCAGAAAUUUUGGAAGUUCCUCAUUAUAAGCACGAAUCCAAAGAUGACUAAAGUCUACAGUAAGUGCCGCUGUAGUUAGCCUAAUCACACCUUUCAAUAAUUUGUUAAUUAAGCAGUUGUUUUUUCAAAAGAAGGGGCCUGUGUCACACAACAAAAACCCUACGAAAUGAAUUUUUCCUUCAAAACUGGUAUUUGGGAGAAACCGAUCAACAAGUGCUGUCAGCAUAUCACUUAAGGAGCACCCUUUAUUCCCAUGGAGGUACUCAUAUUUGAAUGCCUUAUUCUGUCUUUCAAUGCCAUUGUUCGUGUUCACUGCACAAAUGAAAUCUCCUGUCCGAUACGCUUGACACCAUCUCUGUAAGAAAACGAUCAAUACAGUAUAUUUUGCAUGUUCUGCUAGUACAUAGUAUUUUAUUUGAGAUUAUGAAAUAAUACAACGAUAUAAGCCCUGGA